CCUACGGGUGGCAGCAGUGAGGAAUAUUGGUCAAUGGGCGUGAGCCUGAACCAGCCAAGUCGCGUGAGGGAAGAAGGUACUGCGUAUUGUAAACCUCUUUUGUCAGGGAACAAAGGCGGGGACUAGUCCCCGGAUGCAUGUACCCGAAGAAAAAGCAUCGGCUAACUCCGUGCCAGCAGCCGCGGUAAUACGGAGGAUGCGAGCGUUAUCCGGAUUUAUUGGGUUUAAAGGGGGCGGAGGUGGGCUUUUAAGUCAGCGGUGAAAGUCUGGGGCUCAACCCCGGGAGAGCCGUUGAAAAUGGAGGUCUGGAGUUGGAGAGAAGUACGCGGAAUGCGUGGUGUAGCGGUGAAAUGCUUAGAUAUCGCGCAGAACCCCGAUUGCGAAGGCAGCGUACCA
rnacentral:rRNA from 1 species